CUAGUCUUCAAGGGGCCCGUAAGACAUGCAUCGCGAGCGAAAGAAUUAAGAGCUUGCUCUUAUGAAGUUAGCGGCGGACGGGUGAGUAACACGUGGGUAACCUGCCCAUAAGACUGGGAUAACUCCGGGAAACCGGGGCUAAUACCGGAUAACAUUUUGAACCGCAUGGUUCGAAAUUGAAAGGCGGCUUCGGCUGUCACUUAUGGAUGGACCCGCGUCGCAUUAGCUAGUUGGUGAGGUAACGGCUCACCAAGGCAACGAUGCGUAGCCGACCUGAGAGGGUGAUCGGCCACACUGGGACUGAGACACGGCCCAGACUCCUACGGGAGGCAGCAGUAGGGAAUCUUCCGCAAUGGACGAAAGUCUGAGGGAGCAACGCCCCGUGAGUGAUGAAGGCUUU
rnacentral:rRNA from 1 species